rnacentral:rRNA from 1 species
AGUCGAACGGAAAGGCCCUGCUUGCAGGGUACUCGAGUGGCGAACGGGUGAGUAACACGUGGGUGAUCUGCCCUGCACUUCGGGACAAGCUUGGGAAACUGGGUCUAAUACCGGAUAGGAACCAUCUUUAGUGUGGUGGUUGGAAAGUUUUUUCGGUGUAGGAUGAGCUCGCGGCCUAUCAGCUUUGUUGGUGGGGUAAUGGCCUACCAAGGCGGCGACGGGUAGCCGGCCUGAGAGGGUGUACGGCCACAUUGGGACUGAGAUACGGCCCAGACUCCUACGGGAGGCAGCAGUGGGGAAUAUUGCACAAUGGGCGCAAGCCUGAUGCAGCGACGCCGCGUGGGGGAUGAAGGCCUUCGGGUUGUAAACUCCUUUCGCUAGGGACGAAGCUUUUUGUGACGGUACCUAGAUAAGAAGCACCGGCUAACUACGUGCCAGCAGCCGCGGUAAUACGUAGGGUGCGAGCGUUGUCCGGAAUUACUGGGCGUAAAGGGCUCGUAGGUGGUUUGUCGCGUCGUCUGUGAAAUUCUGGGGCUUAACUCCGGGCGUGCAGGCGAUACGGGCAUAACUUGAGUGCUGUAGGGGUAACUGGAAUUCCUGGUGUAGCGGUGAAAUGCGCAGAUAUCAGGAGGAACACCGAUGGCGAAGGCAGGUUACUGGGCAGUUACUGACGCUGAGGAGCGAAAGCAUGGGUA